rnacentral:snRNA from 1 species
AUGCUUGCUUCGGCAACACAUAUACAAAAUGUGAAAUGAGGUUAGCAUGGCCUCUGCACAAGAAUCACAAAAAUUCGUGAAGCAUUCCAUAUUUUU